UCUGUGGAGGAAGGAAGGAGAGAAGUAACCAUCUGAGGUAAAGGACACCAGGACACCAUGCAUGUAUUGACAGGCAAACCAGGAAGACAGAGAAGAUGUUCAUGCCUAGUGUCUGAAAUGAUCUUCUUGUCUAUGAACCUGAUGCUUUGGUAUUUACUCUUUGAGUAUUUCUGAAGAGUUCAGCAAGGCCACAUGGAAUGACUUUAACCACUGUUGCAGAGAGAGACCCAGGGUCCCAGAACUACCUUACACUUUGCAAAAUCCAUAGAACCCCAACAUCUAAAUCCUGAUCUCUUUCCACUCUUAUCAGUCCAGCAGGUAAGAGACACUGCAAGCAUUCCUAGGAUUCCAUGGAAGCAAGAUGCAAAUAGACUGCUCAUGGCCCCAUUUCAAUCCUCAAAACAGACUUGGCUGUUUCAGUAGAGGACUCCAUCAUUACUGGGAGCAAGUAAAAGGUACCAUCAUUUCACCUAGAAGGCACCUGCCACAGAUUCACACUGAUCAAGCAGGAGGGAAACAGUCUCCUCUGAAGACAAAGACUUGGCUGCACGUUCUGGCUCACUCCAGACAGAUGCAAACACCUGCCUGUUUCUUCUCUGCAGUCCGUAUUGCAUCAUGAACUUCUAGUGCCACUCAGAUGAACAAAAGCCACCCCUCUCAGCACCUGCAUGAUGGAAGCUUAUUAACCGCUGUCCUGGGGGAACAGGGGAACAAUAGAGAGGCUCAACAUACUCUAUAACAUUUACUACCACUUCCGCCAUCACUAAUGGGAUGUCAGUGACAAAGGCAACUCUGACCACUGAACGCCAAAGCAUGAAGCACAUAACAGUCUGUCCUCGAGGACUAGCAGCUAUAGAACCAUCAAACCUUAACUAAGAAGGCUUUCCAUGGAAAAAUCCAUUCAAGCCUGGACGUGUCCAGGAACCACCAUUUUCUGACAUUCAGACUAAUUUCAUGGGUGAGGUCCUUCAAGACCCUUUUGUUGGCUCAUUUGUCUAUUUCUCCCACAAUUUCCAAACAUAGAAGCAUUUCCUUCACCUCUAUUCCCUUCAAGAAUUUUACAUAAAAAGAUAUCUCUACUGGGAGGUACUAGUUCUUUCAAGGCAUUAUUUUAUGGGUACAGGCUCUCAAACACUGGAAAUAAGCCAAAAUUCAAUUACCAGGGGAUGGCGUUCAAACCAGCAUGCGCUGAGGUGAAGAUCUUGAAAAGUGUCUGUAAAGGAUUUCCUUGAAUGUGUGUUUUUUUGCACGGACACCACUGACAGCAAGUGUAUAUUCUUUUUAAUGUACUCUAGAUGUCUCUUCCUAAAGCUGUCAUUGUCGUGAGUCAAAAACCUGUACCCUUUCAAAAUUAAGUUAGGUACUAGGAAUCUUUCAUGGGCUGCCUGGGAACAGAUCAAAGAGAAAAGAAGAGAUGGUUUUCCACCGGGUAAGGAAAGAUGAAAUUGCGUGUGGCCCAUUUCUGAACCACGUGUGAAGACGGUACAGGUUUCAAAUUAACUAUCCAACCCAACUUGACAGGAAGACUCAACUGCUGGGACCCUGAAGUUUGGAUUCCUGUCACUCUGGCACCUCACUUAACCUUAGGUGGCUUGACUGAUAUCAGAUGACAUGCACUUUCAAGCACACCAGACUCUCAUUGAAGAAGAGACACUAAUUUGAAUCAUCACUGCCGUCCGUCCUCUCUUCCCCCUUUGUUCCUGUCUGAACCAAUUUCCAUAGAGUUUCAGAGACAUCAUCAGCCCAUGCGAACGGGAACUCCCAAAGGAAUGAGAACUGCAUUAGCCGCGGAAGGGAAAUCUAAUUUCCAAUCCAGUUGCUUUGUUGUUUCAACCUCCAAGGAAGGUUGCUACGUAUGCACAACCCAAAUUAAGUUUUAAAACAUUACCAUGAUAAAAAAUUAAUAAUAAUAAUAAAAAACUCUCAGGAGAGAAAAAUGGCCCUUGGUACAAAUCUCCUUAUACAAUGAAGGUUGGUGCCAUGGGACUUUGUGGGUGGUCCGAACUUGAGGUUUCAAUCAUUUCGGCCAAUAAAAUAGUUAAGAACAUGCAAAGCAUUGCAUGGGACACUUACCACUUAUAGUGAAUUAAUUCUUAGUCAAAGGUGGUAUUCAUGUAAGAAUUCUUAAAUUACUUUGUUGACGUACCUCACAGAAACAUAUUAUAAUGGCCCAAAUUACGGAUUUCUCUAUGGUAUGGCAAGAUAGGCCAAUGUGAUUUCCUAGUGCCCUACUUACUGGAAUAAAGGCUUAUGGCAAGACACCAGGGUGACUGCAUCAUUAAUUAACCUGAACCACAUACCGGAACAUCACUGCUAAUAAAACUCGCCUAUAAAGAAAACAUGUUUUCUCUACUGAGAAUCCUGGAAUGUGGGCCCCCGGCAGAGCCAUUACUUUAAUUAAAGGAAAUUUUGAUGUUUUGUAUGAAAUGUCUUAUCAUUGCGAGUUUGGUUAGAUUUGGUUUGAUCUUCAACGACUUACUACUCUUCCUUGCACGUGACUCAUUUUCUUGAAAAGAAAAGACAUCUGUACUCUCAGCGUUUGUUAAUGUCUCUAUGAAUGGAAGGGUCACUAUCUACAGAGUUUUUAAAAAUAUACUGUGAGCUGAAUCCCAAGAUUUGCUGAUUCAGAAAUCUAUACAAACCUUCCAUUUCUCUCUAAAAACACAAAACCAAAACCAAGCUGUCAGACAAGGACAAAGCCAUAGCGAGAACGCAGGUGAGUGUAGGACUCUGCGCAUUCAAUCCACACAAUGGGAAUCACUUGACUUUAAAAGAGAGAGAGAGAGAGAGAGAGAGAGAAUAUAUUAAUGUUCUGAAAACCAUCUAAAAAUGCUUAUUAGCAUUUUUCACAAUCUCCCACCUGGGAGUCCCCUUGUGAGGUCCUAUAGGCUGUGAGGAUUAAAAUUCCAAUUUAUAGGGAAUCUGACCUAGUAAGAAGAUUGGUAUUUCCACAAUUACACAACUAAAUCACCAGUGAAACCAGAAAUAGAAUCAAAAGGUUUCUGGAAAAUAACAAUUAGGUUCAACAAUUCUGCCCCACCCUGGACGGCUGGCGAAGGAUCUCAGUGAGGUCGAAAGCUUCAGAGCAGCAUCCUCCCUCAGCAAUGUCUGAGGAACGCGCAUGUCAGAUGAGGGAAUGGGAUCUUCUGAAUCAAAACCAAACCAAACCAACCAAACAAAAACAACAGCAAAAAAUAACUACAAAAACACAAAAAUAGAUGCCAAAUGAGAAACUUGUGACUACACUUUUUUUCUUCUGAUAACAUUGGGAUGGAUGGGUGACCUUGGUUCAGAAAGUACCCCAGUCCUCCAGGGUCAUUCCAUACUUUGGUGAAACCAUUGAGGGCAAAUGGGAUGUAGUCAUUUUAACCUCUCGACUUCCAAUGUGAUCUGUUGAGAUGUAAAGAAAUGAAACUAGUGUAAUUCUUUAAUAUGUGGCCAGAGAAAACUUAUGCUGAAGGCUUCAUUUUAUUUAUUUGAUCAAUGCCAAAAAUAUGAACAAACAGGUAUAGUAAAGGAGAGUUUUGAGCCUAUUAUCCAACAUUGUAAACAUAUCACCUGACCUAAAUAAAUAUAUAUAUUUUUUAUUAAAUAAACCUAAUAUUUCCCCCUCACAUUGCCCUUCAAAAUGGUGGUUCGUUCUCUCUCUCUGUCUUUUUUUUUUUUUUUUUUUUUUUACACAUUUAGGUUUUUGGGUUGUGUGUGUGAGUGUGUGUGUACAUGCCAUGGCAGAUGUGUGGAGGUCUAAAGACAACAUAUAGGAACUGGAUCUACCUUUUCCCAUGUGGGUCCUCAGGAUUGAACUUGGGACAUCAUGCUUGGCUGCAUGCCCCUUUACCCCUUGAGCCAUCUCACUGACUCACUUGGUGCAUUUUUACCAAUCACUCAUUCAUUUUGUUCAAGCAUCAAAUAGAAAAGGCAGCUAGCAAAAAGAAACUCAGGAAAAUGGCAUUAAGAGGAGGGGGCUGGAAAGAUGGCUCAGUGGUUAAGAGAGCUUGCUAUUCUUCUUGAGAGUCUGAAUUCUGUUCCCAACACUUACCUCGGGUGGCUCACAACUACCUGUAAGUCCAACUCCAGGGAAUCAGAUGCCCUUGACUCCUUGAGCAUCUCACCACACACACACACACACACACACACAAAGAGGGAGGUGUGCUGGAGAGAUGGCUCAUCAGUUCAUUGGUUAAGAGUACACACUCCUCUUUGAGAGAACACAAAGUUUACUGCCAGCCCCCAUGUCAUGCAACUCAUAAUUGAUCCCCCUUGAGAUUCAGGGGGGUCCAAUGCCUCUGGUCUCUCAGGACACUUAAUCUCAGGUGCACAUGCAAACCCCUACAUAGACACCCGUGGAUAUACUUAAACAAAAUAAUGAAAAAUAAGACUUUAAAAAUAUAUUUUUAAAAAAGCAGAGAAGGAGGAGAAAUGGAAGGAGUGGAAAACAGAACGGCAAAGCCUCUUCCUUUGGAAUGUGAAGAUGCAGCAGACAUUUGGCUUUGCUUCCUACCUGGAAUGUAAACAUUAAUCUCAAAGCACUUGUCUGUAAUCACCUGGUAGUAACAGACUAAAUGAGAAAAGGGCACUGUAGAUGAAGUUGAGUGUGGUUCAGAUGUGGAUGGUGGCAGAGCAUCUUUGUUAGUACCUUUGGGGAAAAGGACAACCAGACUGUCCUAAAUAGUAAAGGCUUUCAACUUUGGGAUGUUUUUAAAGCAUAUUUUAUCAAGAGCAAUAUGGGGCAAAGGAUAUAUACCAAAGUCAAGAGAACUUUCGCCCAGAUCCUUUUACUUAAUUAACUGUGUGUGUCCUUCAGUGAGUCACCUUGACCUUCUUCAACUAAAGGUGUUAAUAAAACAGACUAGCUGUACACAAUCCUUUUCAAUACCAUAAAAAUCCCCUGACUGUAAAUAUAAUAAACUUACGGCCAAAUCUUGCCUGUCUAUAAGAAGCUAGGUACAAAGGAGAUGUUAUUUACCAGUCUGAUCCCUCUACAUACAAAAGCCCAAAUCUCCAGGAAUCUCAAUCAUAGACUUGAAACUACAGCAUCUACCCCAUCUCACAAAGUCCAACUGCUACCCUGUAGCAGAUAGUAUUAUUUUGUACAUAACUGCCUAUAGGCAUUAAGUCCUCUUCCUGAUAAAUCAAUAGUUCUCAAAUAUAAACAAGGGACAAGGAAAAUAAGAUAUAUUAGUGAAAGGCAUAAGGCAGCAGAAAGGAGCAGGAACUGUGGUAAACUGGAUUGCAUACACCAUCUAAAAGAGAAAGAGACUGCAUGGUUUCAGCUUGCUGGUAUCAUGUAGAAAAUGAAGACCCAAGGUUGAUCCCUGCCCACUUUUUAAAGAAGCUUUAAAUUCAAGGUUAUCUAAAAACUCCUGGAUAUCCAAAUUAUUAAAAAUUAGAGUGUACCAGAUAAGCUUAUGUCCCAUAGGAGGCAAACUACGGCUUCAGUUUGAAAAGAAAGGAGAAGAGGGCAAAAAUACAGGUACCUCUGUACAGUUCUUUCCUGCUGUGGACUAUGGCUCUUAGGUAGCUACCAUCUAGGAAGACCCAAACCACUCUCCCCCAUUUCCUGAGGAGAUGCCCCUCUGCAGGAGAAACCCACUGGAAGGAGUACUGAGUGCACAGCACUGCAUGCUGAGUUCUGUUGAAUGUUCUUAUUCCGAAACCCUGGCUGCAGUCUCUAGUCUUACUAAGCAUCUCAGCAUAGGGAUACAAACUACAGAGACAGCAUGGGAGUGGCAGGCGGAAGCAAGGACAACACCCAGCAACCCUGAAGUUUUAAAUGUCUGUUGGGCUAAGCAUGGUGUUGGGCACAAUUAGUAGCUGUUCAGUAAAAUAACAUUUAUAUGAAAACAUUUUUGUAUUUAAAAAAGUCAUUGGUGAACUAGAUGAUUAUGUUUUAAUAUAAUUUUUUGGUAUUCUAUAUGCCUUUUAUAUUUAUUUGUUUUUACAAUUUCAUAUGUGUACACUUUGCAUAGGGACAAUUCAGACAUCUCAUCUCCCUAGUAGCCAUGUCUACCCAGCCCCCUCCCCACAAAUCUCUCCCACUUUCACAUUCAUAUCUUUUUGUUUUGUUAACUACCAAGAUUAACUAGGGCCAACUGUGUCUGGGGUUCGUAGGUACAUCUCUCUUGGAGCCUGCUGAGCUCAGAAGAGGGUUCACAACUAAAGACAUAAUUCUCCUUCAACUGAAUGAAAAAUGUUAAAGAACAUUAGUACAGCCACGUCUGUCUCUCAUUGCAUGUUCGUCUGUGAGGUGACCGAGACUCUCUGAUAGUUAGGACUUUCUCAUAGGAUAAUGACUUAGAAUAAAGAAGGUUCUGGUAGGAUGGUAGGCUGUCUAUCUGAAUUGUACAUCAUCAAGAGGCAGGGCCUAUAUCUUUCACUGCUCUGAAAGUAAUUCAACACUCACUUUCUGAAUUUCUACUUUUUAUCAGGCAUUGAUGGAGACUUCAGGGGAUCCUGGUCCCCCCUACAAGUUGCCCAUAGUACAUUAUACUGGUGUUUCUAAUCCAAUAAUGGCAGUCAAUGGUCCUUUCUCCUGUUCCUGGAUAGCCAUUCAGGUCCAGUCAGGACAUCUGGUUAUGGAGCUCGGGCUGUGUUUGUGUUUAGAAAUACAAACCAUGGAAGGUGAUCUGGCAUCUGUGUAACUAGUAACUGGGAUGGGUUCACUGCUGGGGCAACACAGAAAAGGAACUAAUGUAUGACACUGGAAGGACAAAAAUCACAUUUGGGGUAGACCCUGACAAAUGAGAGAGCUUUGCAGAGUGGAGGACAGCACAAUGAAAUUCUCUAAGGAUAAGCCACAGUGCAGGUGUGGAGGCAUCAAGGCUACAAUGUAUACUUGGGAAAAGAGUCCUGAUCUAGGGGGUUCUGAUGCACAUGAUCAAGAAUAGCAAGAAAAGUACCAGCAAGGCCCAGAAAAGGCCAGAGGCAUUCAGCUGCAGAUCACAUGGCUAGUUUCUGCCAUGUGAUUUCUGCUGCACUGGGACACUCUUUGAAAGGCUCUAGCUGCUUUGAGAUGUUCCUUGGCAGUUCAGGGAAGUGGGAUUUCUGAAGCUACAUGUUUUCAAAGUCUUCUCGGGCAUUGCUUUUCCAGAUUUAUACUCCCAACAUAAAGCACACUCACAACAAACACAAAAUAGAAUCAAAACAGAGUAAAAAAAAAAAUCAACACAGAUACAACCCCUACCCACAGACAACUUAAAAAAAAAAAAUAAAGAUCCUAAAUUAAACACAGCCCUCAAUGAACUAAGGAAGUCUCACCACCAAACAACUUGAGCUGCCACUCCCUUGUUCAUUAGGUUUAAAAUAAAUACAGAUUGUGUGUGUGUGUGUGUGUGUGUGUGUGUGUGUGUGUGUUGAAAUUAGAUCUUUGGAAUAACUUGUCCCCUACACAAAAAUUUUUCUUACAAUGAGACACUUUCCUGCAAAACCCUCAAAAAUGAUUUGUCAAAGAUCCAACCACAGGUUCAUGGCCUAAGCGUGUUUUUCUCUUUUGCAAAUCUUUCUGUGGAUGUUUUUCUGGCUCUCUAUGCAAAGAGGAAACCUCUCCCAUUCCUGUAGGCUGCAGUUCCUGACCCUACUGUGGCAGCCAAGGGCACUCAAAGCUCCCAGGACCCAUCACCAGAUGCAGGGUGAUAGUCUAGGUCCAGCGGAGGCACCUGGUUAUGGAGCUGGGACUGUGCAACUGCUCAGGUUCAAUGCUGGCCACCUAAGAAGGGCUCCAGCCAGGGCGCCCUCAUUCACAACAGAGUGCUCAGGGAUGCCUGACCUUUGAAACUCUAGCUCCAGCCUGCAGCUUCUGAGAGUUGCAAGCAGCUCCAGGCCCAGCCCCCACAUGCUUUCCUGUGACUGCAGCCGGCAAAAUCAAUACAGCAGCAUUAUGGACUCUGCAAUAUCAUGUGAGAGAGCUUCAAUACUGCCUACAUGGAGAGAAGUGGGGGACGGAGGGGGGUGGGGAGAGACUGGCAGAUGUAAGAGAGGAUGCUAUCUACCCAUCUUACACUGUCCAUGCCAGGGAGGCCUCAGCCCUGAAGGGGCAACAGAGGAAUCCAGUGCUCCCUCUAAAAGGAAAAAUCUCCAGGUCCAAAUGUUGUCACAGUGCACCAAGAAGAGCUGCACCAGGUAAAGUCGAGGCCAGCGAAGAGCUUCUUGAAUGCCAAGGAGCUAAGGCAAAAGUUGGAAGUGCAUCACACAAGCAUGGUGUGCCUUCAUCUGCAGCCAUAAAUGCCUAAAGCAUCUCCUGUUACUAAUUUUCCACUCAAAUUUCUUGAGUCGCCUUCAAGCACCAAAAGGCACACGUUUUGUUUGUUUUGUUUUCACCAGGACAAAAAGCAGAGUAUAUAUCAUUCAAUCUGCACCAAGAUGCCAUCUUUGACUCAUUUCCACUUUGCCUAGGACCCUCACCCAGCAGACACCAUUCCUGCCACUAGGUUUCAUUACUCAUCCCCAAAGCCCCCAUCACAAGAUCCGAAUCACCAUCAAAGCCCACAAUGUCCAGUGAAAUGAGACUCCUAGUUUCUGCCUUCACAUGAAAGCACGGGUUGUCCCCAGACACCACACCUCAGUAGAGCUAGUGACAACUGUCACGAAAGGUAAACAAAGCAAGUUUUCAGAUCCGUAGCACUCCCCAUGUCCGAGUCACAGCUUCCUUCAACUUCUCGGAUUCUGGCUUUUGUGUCUAAAUGGAAGUGGAGGCAUUCCCUACUCUAAACCAGACAUUAGUUCAGCCCAUUUGCUAUUAAGGGAGCACCACUUUCCCCAGAAAGAACCAAGAGGAAUCAGACUCCUGCAGCCUGUUUUACUUAUCAACAUUCACAUCUGUCAACAGAGUACAAUGGCAUCUUGCUAAUCAGGCCUCCAGCAGAACUUCAGGACUAGAACAUUCGACACAAUCUACACUCAGAAACAAACCACCACCAUGAUGGCCACGAGCCACCUGCUGCUUUUGUAUCCGUGAGCUUUGUGGUGCUGCUUACCAACAUAUCAUCAGGCUUUCCUCUUGUCUGACAGAAUUUACUAAGUGACAUAGAAACACCUAUUAACUUUUUCCCCCAUACUAGGGAAGGAAAAAAAAAAAACUUUAAACAACACAUUGAUCCAAUGCUAAUAACAACACACAAUUCUAGAAUCCGAGGCUCAUUGUGGGAGGCUCAUUUUUUUAGAACAACCCCUCUACACCAGACAUUAAAAUCUAUUCUAACACUUUAUCUAAAAUAGAAUGACAUUUGUAUGUAAUCUGCAGGCCUCUUUAAAUAAUUUCUAGAUUGUUCCUGAGACUCUUUACAGUGUAUGAGCUUUGAAACUAGCCACUGGACCACACUGUUUAGGAAAGGCUAUGGAAAAAUUUUUAAAAAGUAUGCACACAUGCUCAGUUACAGACAUUACUUUCUAAAAAGUUUUGACCUAUAGUUUAAAUAGAUAAACAAAGCCACCAUACUGAGAACAUGGAGGGUGAUAGCAUCUUUGUUUAGCAACAUGCAGAAUAUGGAGAAAGGGAUUUUAUACAACGUAAGGAGACUCAAAAUAAUGAAAUGCAGAUGUUCAAGAGUUCCAAGAAUUAUCAAAUAUUUGUUCCAUUUUAGAGCCUUUCUGAGUAGUAACUAUAAACUUCUUGGGAAAGUUCUGGGAGAUCAGUUUUGGGAAGAUGGGUAGGAAAGUUCCUUGGCUAUGUCAGACAUAUCUGUGGACACCAUCCACUCUUGGCAGUCCAUUGCUUUCCUUCUGUCCCAAAUGAUACUCCACUCUUCCAUAGUUAUUUCCUUCUCUUCAGGUUCCACCUCUACACACUAAGCUAUGCCAUGGAGCAGGGACAAUGCCCCUUUGGUUCACUAUGGUAUCCUCAACACAUCACACAGAGUUUAGCCCUACCAUGGAAGAAAGAGAAGGAAGCAUCAAGGGAAGGAGGAAUUAAGGAAUGAAAGAAAACAAAACAAGGGAAACCCUGAGCUAGAGCUGCAGAUGAGGCAGGCUCCCCUUCCUCGUCAAGCAUCCGCUGGUUUACAGUGAAUGUCAAUGAUCGUGUUCUCACCUGUUCACUCACUGUUGGUGGAUGAGGGACUAUGGGGGAAGAUGUGAAGUGAAAAAGAACAGGCAGGUAGCAGGUGGGCAAGCCAGAGUGUGAAAGCCAGGGACUCUUGUGUUCUUGUUGCUCUACUUAUACUACCCUCCCACUAAGGUUCCUGGCAAACACUCCUCUCAUUUUCCCUCCGUUUUUUCUUUUAGGCAAAGUCAUUCCCGAAAUCAUUCCCUUUAACUAGCUCCAUUCUGCCACUCUCCCAAAUACUAAGAGGAGAAACUCCGUUGAGCCCUACUCCAGAGCAAGGCCAAUGUCUGCUGGCACUACUUUCUAGUUCCCUUCUCUCCUCCAAUGAUCCCUGUGUCCCUGCCACCUUCCCUUCACAUCCUCUGGGAAGUUCUGCCUUAUUUUAAUCUCCAUUUUCUUACGGGAGGUCCUAGGAUUCCAUGAGACCUUCACUGACAAGGAAAUUCUUUCAAGGUACCCUGGAAACUCAGCUGGCCAGAAUUCCUUUUACUCCCUUCACCUGCUGCUGCCCAAGAGACAUGAAAAAAGGAAGAGGAAACAGCUCAGUGUAUGGCUCACCUAUCUUGUCCUAGCUGCCCCUACCUCUCCCUGGAGAGCUGUCUUUUCCUGAGUCUGCCCUAUCACAAGCCAAGACUCAGUGAUUCCACUGAACCCAGGCAGCACAGGAAUGACAAAUGAUACACAUCUGUCCGAUGGUGGCUCAAGCAAGCCAGGGCAAGAAGUGGUUAGAGAUAUGGAUGUGAGACUACUAUAUUGCUCCUUCUGGGUCUGUGUGCAGCCUGAUCAAUAACACAGCUGGCGCUUGACUUGCACCUGUCUAGCUCCUGGGUCUUCUCCGUGAAGGCUGCAGGAAGAAAGGUCCAUCUAUUGUCCUUGCUGAAAGAGUAGAAAUUACUAUUAAAGGGCUCUCUUAAUGGUCCAGACUUCCUAUGAACCUUGCUAUCCUGUAAGCUAACACCUAAGACUUAACACACACACACACACACACACACACACACACACACACACACACA